AUGUCUAAAAAACCAGGUACUACUCAAGCAAUGCAUAAGGUUAUAAUGGUUGGAAGUGGAGGUGUAGGAAAAUCUGCACUCACAUUACAAUUUAUGUAUGAUGAGUUUGUUGAAGAUUAUGAGCCAACAAAAGCAGACUCCUAUAGAAAGAAAGUUGUAUUAGAUGCAGAAGAAGUUCAAAUAGAUAUAUUAGAUACUGCUGGACAAGAAGAUUAUGCAGCAAUUCGAGAUAAUUAUUUUCGAAGUGGAGAAGGAUUUCUUUGUGUAUUUUCUAUAACAGAGGAUGAUAGUUUCCAAGCUACUCAAGAAUUUAGAGAACAGAUACUUAGGGUAAAAAACGAUGAAAACAUUCCAUUUCUAUUAGUGGGAAAUAAAAGUGAUUUACAAGAGAAAAGAAAAGUUAGCUUAGCUGAAGCUCAAGCUAGAUCACAACAAUGGGGUGUACCAUAUGUAGAAACAAGUGCAAAGACAAAAGAAAAUGUUGAUAAGGUAUUCUUUGACUUAAUGCGUGCAAUAGCUGCACGUAAAGCGCAGGAAAAUCAAGGUGACGGAAGCGAGCGUAAGAAGAAAAGAAGUUGUUGCGUUUUGCUCUAACAAACAUAAAACAACGCGUAUAGCUCCUAUAACGGAACGUUCAACUCCUAAUGGCAAAAACCUGAAGUGGACCACUAUAACUAGAAUGGCCAAUUGCGAGGAGGAUUCAUCCUGUAUCUCUCAAGUUUUUCUACUCGUUUGAUGUUAAGUCGAUAGAUGGUAGUAUCAAUCUUAUUGAAGAUAUCCCAGAAGUUGUCAAUGUCGACAAAAAGGUUAUUGAAUCGCAUCGCUCUUGGUUACCACUUCGCCCGCCUUCAGCACUUCUGUUGUUCUGUUCUGUAUCCAGAGUCUGUGUCUCCGAUGGCUUCUUGUUGAGCAUGUUUCCUAUAUUUUUGACCGUUUGUUGGGCCACAGCAGUUGUGGUCUUGAUCAUAACACCGACAGGGCUGUCAGUCAGUAAGCCCUCUACAUCCUUCACUAGCAAUAUUAAUACUAUCUUCUAUUGUAUGGUAAAGUGCUAUACCCAUUUCGAUACAGCGCUGAUUAGAACUGCUCAUGUACGACGGUUCCGUGGUGACAAGUCACGCGCUGGUCGGGUGUGAUGUUGAUGCUCGCACAUUGAUUUCGCGCUUAUACCAUGUAAGCUCAAUGAGCCAAUCCCCUACUCAUUGGUUACACGUUUUCACUAAGUGGGUCUUAUCCUUUAAGAAUGAAAUUCUGUCUUUUACUUGUUGUGUGUGUAAGAAAUUCAUAUUGUCCAGUCUUUCUUCAACGAGCGACUUAAGUAACAUAGUCCUCAAUACAGCCCACGAGGCCGCACCUGCCAACAACUUGUGUUGGAAUUCGGGCGCCCUACAACCGCUCCAGAAAUACUUGGUUCAUCUACAUGAUCAUCUACAUCAGUUGAUCUGUACCUUUUGCUAUUUUAAAUGGUAUGAUUUUAGCUUGGGUUCUCUCUUCCGUAAAGUGAGUCGUUUUCACAGAAAGUUAACACUCUCCAAUUUUGAACUUAGCUUGACAUCUAAUCUUUUUCUCUGCGUGUGUUUAUAGUCCCUCGUCGGGCGCCUGCUAAUUUUUUACAUGGUCUUAUUUUUCACAUGUAUAUGCAUAUAUAUAUAUACACACACACACA